rnacentral:rRNA from 1 species
CCUACGGGUGGCAGCAGUGAGGAAUCUUGGUCAAUGGCCGGAAGGCUGAACCAGCCAUGCCGCGUGCAGGUCAGUGCCCUAUGGGCGUUAAACUUCUUUUGUGCGGGAGCAAUAAUGGUCACGUGUGGCCAGACGAGAGUACCGUACGAAUAAGCAUCGGCUAACUCCGUGCCAGCAGCAGCGGUAAUACGGGGGAUGCAAGCGUUAUCCGGAUUUAUUGGGUUUAAAGGGUGCGUAGGCUGUGAUGUAAGUCAGCGGUGAAAUGCCCCGCUCUACGGGGUGAAGUGCCAUUGAUACUGCCGGGCUGGAAUGCGGAUGCGGUAGGAGGAAUGUGUGGUGUAGCGGUGAAAUGCAUAGAUAUCACACAGAACACCGAUUGCGAAGGCAGCUCACGAAUCCGCGAUUGACGCUGAUGCACGAAAGCGUGGGUAUCAAACAGGAUUAGAUACCCCUGUAGUC